AGCUCUAAAAAUUCAAAAACAAUCGUUAGGUUCAAAUCAUAUUGAUGUCGCUAUGUCUUUAAACAAUCUUGGUGCUGUGUAUUCUAGUACUGGAAACUGCGACAAAGCUAUAGAAUUUUAAGAAAAAGCUCUGGAAAUUCAAAAAUAACGGUUAGCUCCAAAUCAAUUUAAUGUCGCUGCGUCUUUAAACAAUCUUGUUAAUGUGCUUGAAAAAGUUGAAAAGCUACGUGUUUUAAAGAAAAUUGUACAUUCCAAAUUAUGUUAAGCCUAUAUUUUACACAUAGACCGUAGGAGCAAAGCUUCCAUCUGCCAAGUCAACUCCCUUCUCCCUGAGAAGGUAUUUUUGGUACUGACAAAACGUUCGGAGUUUGCAUUUUGUGAGGUCACUUACAUUAUGAUGACCAUAUUUACAUAAUAGCGACAUUUUGAAAUGGAUCAUGGAUUCAAUGGAUGUAGUAGUGAAAAUAUAAAAACAAAACAGCAAUGGCAAUUGCUUUUAGAAGACAGAAAUUUGGAAAUGUGGAAAACGAUGAAAAGGAUGGAUCAAAGAUAUGGUGAUUAAAAGUGAGAAUGUUAGAAGGAUGGAGGCAUUUAAGAUGUGAUUCUGGAAAAUGAUGGAUUGGAUAAACUUAUGCAAACCUAAGUUCAACCAUCUUUUAUUUCAUUUAUAAAUUGAUAUUAGAUAAAAGGAUAUGAAACAUUCAUGGCAAUGGCUUGUUCAAGUAAGUAAUCGAAGGAAGAGUUGAAGGUAAAACAUCUAAAAAAGAAAAAGGAUUGAAAAGCUAAAUUACUAUAAAGGUUUGUCAAAAUGAAAAGAAAUGCAGAUAACAGGAAAACCUAGCAAACUUUAUACAAAGCAAGACGUGUUGAUAGACAGAACUCUAGACAUUAGUGACUUGAUAAUUGAUACAUGAUCUGAAAUCGUUGUUUUAUUAUGAAAGGAUGAAAAUAUGUCGAAAGACAAAGAUGAACUUAAAGGAUUCAAAACAUUAGUCAUGUGGAGCGAUGGAAAAACAAAGGGAAACGGCAAGUCGAGGGAAUUUCCUGCAGAGAUAAUAGAGGUUUCAGAUAGUUAAGAUUAUUUACUCAAGACAAUGAGAAAAGAAGAAACUUUCUCUAUAAAUACUGGCAAAGGGUGUCGCAAAAGAAUUCACAAAGCAAAGUUUACAAUUGAAAGUGAUAGUGAAUCAGAUGAUGUGCAGGAGCACAGUAUUCCUAAAAAGCUAAAGGCAUCCAGGGCAAAGAAAACAGAGGCUUGCUGCUCAGCCAGUCUUGCUUCACUUAUAAAAGAGUGAUUAAGCAAGGAGAGUCAGUCAGAUGAAGGUAGUGCACUUUGCAAUGAUAAAUGCAAGUAUAAAAAAAGCCUUGGAACUCAAAGAGAGGGUAAAAAUGCUGGAAAAUCAGAUGAAAAGACUUAAUGAGCAAAUUGACAAUGGCAAUGAACUUCAUUAAAAAAUUAAGAAGAUAUGUGUCUACCUUGGAAGAUUCCGCCAGGUCACUUUUACAAAGAUCAUUUCUGACUAGAACUUCUCUCAGUAAAUCCUCGUCCACCCCAUCCACCACAUCUUUGUCACCCAUUGAAGGUUUGCCUGUGAUGGAGAAUAGAUUCACCCCAGUUUCAUCUGGGAGAAGUAGCUCUUACUCAAACCUUUCAAAUCUUCCAGAAGAAAACCCUUCCCCCAUACCAACUGCUGUGUUUGAGAGCUCUAUCAAUGGACUAUCAAAUGAAACCAACCAAACUAUGGAAGAAAGCCCUCUGGAUUGCUAAAAUGCAACAACUGAAGAUACUUCUCUCCUCGAAAUGGUCACUUUGGGACCAAUUUUGGUUGUCAAAAAGCACGUCUUUAAAAGAAUCGAGGCAAAGAAAGUUGGAUCAUAUGUUGCUAACUUACUGGGGACAACCUUAUCCCGUGAACACAUGGCUACCCACAGCUACAAGGACCAAAAAAGGAAAAAUGGUCAGGUCAAACCUCAGCUUGAUCCCACAUACACUACUUCUUUAAUUCAGCAUGCAACGAGUGUGAAGUAUUCAAAUAUGCCACGCCAGGUUAUAGAAGAAGAUGUUGUAAAAGCUGUAAAGUUCAAACUUAAUAACGAGGAACAAGCAUGGAAAAAACAACACGAAUCCUGUAAAGAGUAACAUUAGCGGUAUAUACUAUAUUUUUCUAUUAAUUCUAUCUAUGUAACUUAAUGAUAUUUUUCUAUAAAGGAAGAAAAUUGGUGAAUAUUUUUAUCUGGUUAAAAUACAAUGUAUAAUUAAAA